rnacentral:rRNA from 1 species
UGAGUACAGUAGAGGUGGGCGGAAUUCGUGGUGUAGCGGUGAAAUNNNUAGAUAUCACGAAGAACUCCGAUUGUGAAGGCAGCUCACUGGACUGCAACUGACACUGAUGCUCGAAAGUGUGGGUAUCAAACAGNNNUAGAUACCCNGGUAGUCCACACAGNAAACGAUGAANACUCGCUGUUUGCGAUAUACAGUGAGCGGCCAAGCGAAAGCAUUAAGUAUUCCACCUGGGGAGUACGCCNGCAACGGNNAAACUCAAAGGAAUUGACGGGNNCCCGCACAAGCGGAGGAACANNUGGUUUAAUUAGAUGAUACGCGAGGAACCUUACCCGGGCUUAAAUUGCAGUGGAAUGAUNNGGANNNAUGUCAGUGAGCAAUCACCGCUGUGAAGGUGCUGCAUGGUUGUCGUCAGCUCGUGCCGUGAGGUGUCGGCUUAAGUGCCAUAACGAGCGCAACCCUUAUCUUCAGUUACUAACAGGUCAUGCUGAGGACUCUGGAGAGACUGCCGUCGUAAGAUGUGAGGAAGGUGGGGAUGACGUCAAAUCAGCACGGCCCUUACGUCCGGGGCUACACACGUGUUACAAUGGGGGGUACAGAAGGCAGCUAGCGGGUGACCGUAUGCUAAUCCCAAAAUCC